GAUGAAGAACGUAGCGAAAUGCGAUAAGUAAUGCGAAUUGCAGAUUUCAGUGAGUCAUCGAAUCUUUGAACGCACAUUGCGCCCGCCAGUAUUCUGGCGGGCAUGCCUGUUCGAGCGUCAUUUCAACCCUCAAGCCCCCGGGUUUGGUGUUGGGGAUCGGGCUGUACUCCAGCCCGGCCCCGAAAUCUAGUGGCGGUCUCGCUGCAGCCUCCAUUGCGUAGUAGCUAACACCUCGCAACUGGAACGCGGCGCGGCCAAGCCGUUAAACCCCCAACUUCUGAAUGUUGACCUCGGAUCAGGUAGGAAUACCCGCUGAACUUAAGCAUAUCAAUAAGCGGAGGA
rnacentral:misc_RNA from 1 species